rnacentral:rRNA from 1 species
UACGGAGGGUGCAAGCGUUAUCCGGAUUUACUGGGUUUAAAGGGUGCGUAGGUGGGUUGGUAAGUCAGUGGUGAAAUCUUCGAGCUUAACUCGGAAACUGCCAUUGAUACUAUCAAUCUUGAAUACUUUGGAGGUAAGCGGAAUAUGUCAUGUAGCGGUGGAAAAUGCUUAGAUAUGACAUAGAACACCGAUAGCGAAGGCAGCUUGCUACACAGUUAUUGACACUGAGGCACGAAAGCGUGGGGAGCAAACAGG